AUUAUUAUUGUGUGAAGGCGAAGACUUUGAAUAACUUCUUGGGGAAUGCUGCCGAAUGAUGUUGAAACGAGUUGAAUUACUUGAGAAAUGUAGAAAAUAGAAUUGAAAAACGAAAUUUUGGAGAAUUUGGCGUGAA